rnacentral:misc_RNA from 1 species
GGCGGAUCGGAAGAGGCGCUCGAGGUCGGCGAUAGCAAAAUCGAGGCCGAAGCGGGCGGCGAUCUCCUCGGCGGCGUGCAGAGGUGAGUCCCUAGACUCUCUACUCCUGUUUUGUUUCUGUUUUAAGCUACAACUAAUUGUUCUGGCGGGGUUAGUGAGGGAGGAGCGGGUACUGGUGGCGGCGGAGGAGGAACGGAGACUCGCCGGCGCUGCCGGGAGAGGCUGGGGUGCUCUUAGUGACGAAGACAUGG